GAGAAAUUGCCCUUUGGGUACAUCUCCCGUCCUGACUACCAUACCUGGUUGCUUUGGUGGAUUGAUGCCUAGGCAGAUGUUUGCCAAAGUUAUUAUCAUUCUUGUAUUUAAUAAUGUCUGAGAAAUAUAUAAUAUUUAAAACUUUCAACAACGGAUCUCUUGGUUCU
rnacentral:misc_RNA from 1 species